rnacentral:ncRNA from 1 species
UUUCUGCCCAGUGCUCUGAAUGUCAAAGUGAAGAAAUUCAAUCAAGCGCGGGUAAACGGCGGGAGUAACUAUGACUCUCUUAACCUGAUUUCGUCCGUGCGGCGGCGUUUUCUUUUCGCUCUCCGCUCGUCGAAAUUUGCUGUAGUUGAUUCGCUUUUUCUUUGCGUUUUCUUCUACUUUCGCAGUUUUUUCUGCAUUGCCACGAUGUCAAACCGCCUUGCCAAUACUGCUGCGGCUGGUGGGGU